AUGGUGGUAUCAGCCGGCCCUUUGUCCAGCGAGAAGGCAGAGAUGAACAUUCUAGAAAUCAACGAGAAAUUGCAUCCCCAGCUGGCAGAGAAGAAACAGCAGUUCAGAAACCUCAAAGAGAAAUGUUUUGUAACUCAACUGGCCUGCUUCCUGGCCAACCAGCAGAACAAAUACAAAAAUGAAGAGUGCAAAGACCUCAUAAAAUCUAUGCUGAGGAAUGAGCGACAGUUCAAGGAGGAGAAGCUUGCAGAGCAGCUCAAGCAAGCUGAGGAGCUCAGGCAAUAUAAAGUCCUGGUUCACUCUCAGGAACGAGAGCUGACCCAGUUAAGGGAGAAGUUACGGGAAGGGAGAGAUGCCUCCUGCUCAUUGAAUCAGCAUCUCCAGGCCCUCCUCACUCCGGAUGAGCCAGACAAGUCCCAGGGGCAGGACCUCCAAGAACAGCUGGCUGAGGGGUGUAGACUGGCACAGCACCUUGUCCAAAAGCUCAGCCCAGAAAAUGACAACGAUGACGAUGAAGAUGUUCAAGUUGAGGUGGCUGAGAAAGUGCAGAAAUCGUCUGCCCCCAGGGAGAUGCCGAAGGCUGAAGAAAAGGAAGUCCCUGAGGACUCACUGGAGGAAUGUGCCAUCACUUGUUCAAAUAGCCAUGGCCCUUAUGACUCCAACCAGCCACAUAGGAAAACCAAAAUCACAUUUGAGGAAGACAAAGUCGACUCAACUCUCAUUGGCUCAUCCUCUCAUGUUGAAUGGGAGGAUGCUGUACACAUUAUCCCAGAAAAUGAAAGUGAUGAUGAGGAAGAGGAAGAAAAAGGGCCAGUGUCUCCCAGGACAUCGGUGGGAUCAAGUGAAAAAGGAGGACCAAGAGGCAACAGGUCCCAGGCUCAGCAGGGAGCUGCUGGAUGAGAAAGGGCCUGAAGUCUUGCAGGACUCACUGGAUAGAUGUUAUUCAACUCCUUCAGGUUAUCUUGAACUGACUGACUCAUGCCAGCCCUACAGAAGUGCCUUUUACAUAUUGGAGCAACAGCGUGUUGGCUGGGCUCUUGACAUGGAUGAAAUUGAAAAGUACCAAGAA
rnacentral:lncRNA from 1 species